CGGUGUGAUCAUACUAGCACUAAUGCACCAGAUCCCAUCAGAACUCCGCAGUUAAGCGUGCUUGGCCGAGAGUAGUACUGGGAUGGGUGACCUUCCGGGAAGUUUUCUCAGAAAGUGU
rnacentral:rRNA from 2 species